AACGAACGCUGGCGGCAUGCCUAACACAUGCAAGUCGAACGAAGCCUUCGGGCUUAGUGGCGCACGGGUGCGUAACACGUGGGAAUCUGCCCUUCGGUUCGGAAUAACAGUUAGAAAUGACUGCUAAUACCGGAUGAUGACGUAAGUCCAAAGAUUUAUCGCCGAAGGAUGAGCCCGCGUAGGAUUAGGUAGUUGGUAGGGUAAUGGCCUACCAAGCCGACGAUCCUUAGCUGGUCUGAGAGGAUGAUCAGCCACACUGGGACUGAGACACGGCCCAGACUCCUACGGGAGGCAGCAGUGGGGAAUUUUGGACAAUGGGCGCAAGCCUGAUCCAGCAAUGCCGCGUGCAGGAUGAAGGCCUUCGGUUGUAAACUGCUUUGUACGGAACGAAAAGGCUCUGGUUAAUACCUGGGGCUCAUGACGGUACCGUAAGAAUAAGCACCGGCUAACUACGUG
rnacentral:rRNA from 1 species